CGGACGGGUGAGUAACGCGUGGAGAACCUGCCGUAUACUGGGGGAUAACACUUAGAAAUAGGUGCUAAUACCGCAUAAGCGCACAGCUUCGCAUGAAGCAGUGUGAAAAACUCCGGUGGUAUACGAUGGAUCCGCGUCUGAUUAGCUUGUUGGCGGGGUAAGGCCCACCAAGGCGACGAUCAGUAGCCGGCCUGAGAGGGUGAACGGCCACAUUGGGACUGAGACACGGCCCAAACUCCUACGGGAGGCAGCAG
rnacentral:rRNA from 1 species